GUGGCUAUAGCUCAGUUGGAAGAGCGCCUGACUGUGGAUCAGGGGGCCGAGGGUUCAAAUCCCUCUAGCCACCCCA
rnacentral:tRNA from 1 species